GGGUUGUGAGGUUAAGCGACUAAGCGUACACGGUGGAUGCCCUGGCAGUCAGAGGCGAUGAAGGACGUGCUAAUCUGCGAUAAGCGUCGGUAAGGUGAUAUGAACCGUUAUAACCGGCGAUUUCCGAAUGGGGAAACCCAGUGUGUUUCGACACACUAUCAUUAACUGAAUCCAUAGGUUAAUGAGGCGAACCGGGGGAACUGAAACAUCUAAGUACCCCGAGGAAAAGAAAUCAACCGAGAUUCCCCCAGUAGCGGCGAGCGAACGGGGA
rnacentral:rRNA from 1 species